UACGGGGGGGGCAAGCGUUGUUCGGAAUUAUUGGGCGUAAAGGGCUCGUAGGCGGCCAACUAAGUCGGAUGUGAAAUCCCCAGGCUUAACCUGGGAAUUGCAUCCGAUACUGGAUGGCUUGAAUCCGGGAGAGGGAUGCGGAAUUCCUGGUGUAGUGGUGAAAUACGUAGAUAUCAGGAGGAGCACGGUGGCGAAGGCGGCGAUCUGGCCAAGUACUGACCACUCAGAACCCGAAAGCCGUAGGGU
rnacentral:rRNA from 1 species